rnacentral:rRNA from 1 species
UGAGUAACCUGCCCUCCACUUCGGGAUAACCUCGGGAAAUCGUGGCUAAUACCGGAUAUGAGCACUCAUCGCAUGGUGGGUGCUGGAAAGAUUUAUCGGUGGGGGAUGGACUCSCGGCCUAUCAKUUUGUUGGUGAGGUGAUGGCUCACCAAGACGAUGACGGGUAGCCGGCCUGAGAGGGCGACCGGCCACACUGGGACUGAGACACGGCCCAGACUCCUACGGGAGGCAGCAGUGGGGAAUAUUGCACAAUGGGCGAAAGCCUGAUGCAGCGACGCCGCGUGGGGGAUGACGGCCUUCGGGUUGUAAACCCCUUUCAGUAGGGAAGAAGCGAGAGUGACGGUACCUGCAGAAGAAGCGCCGGCUAACUACGUGCCAGCAGCCGCGGUAAUACGUAGGGCGCAAGCGUUGUCCGGAAUUAUUGGGCGUAAAGAGCUUGUAGGUGGCUUGUCGCGUCUGCCGUGAAAACCCGAGGCUCAACCUCGGGCGUGCGGUGGGUACGGGCAGGCUAGAGUGUGGUAGGGGAGACUGGAACUCCUGGUGUAGCGGUGAAAUGCGCAGAUAUCAGGAAGAACACCGAUGGCGAAGGCAGGUCUCUGGGCCAUUACUGACACUGAGAAGCGAAAGCAUGGGUAGCGAACAGGAUUAGAUACCCUGGUAGUCCAUGCCGUAAACGUUGGGCACUAGGUGUGGGGGACAUUCCACGUUUUCCGCGCCGUAGCUAACGCAUUAAGUGCCCCGCCUGGGGAGUACGGCCGCAAGGCUAARACUCAAAGGAAUUGACGGGGGCCCGCACAAGCGGCGGAGCAUGCUGAUUAAUUCGAUGCAACGCGAAGAACCUUACCAAGGCUUGACAUGCACUGGACGGCUGCAGAGAUGUGGCUUUCUUCGGACUGGUGCACAGGUGGUGCAUGGUUGUCGUCAGCUCGUGUCGUGAGAUGUUGGGUUAAGUCCCGCAACGAGCGCAACCCUUGUUCUAUGUUGCCAGCACGUGAUGGUGGGGACUCAUAGGAGACUGCCGGGGUCAACUCGGAGGAAGGUGGGGACGACGUCAAAUCAUCAUGCCCCUUAUGUCUUGGGCUUCAAGCAUGCUACAAUGGUCGGUACAAUGGGUUGCGAAACUGUGAGGUGGAGCGAAUCCCAAAAAGCCGGCCUCWGNNNGGAUUGGGGUCUGCAACUCGACCCCAUGAAGUCGGAGUCGNUAGUAAUCGCAGAUCAGC